AUUGAACGCUGGCGGCAUGCCUUACACAUGCAAGUCGAACGGCAGCACGGGUGCUUGCACCUGGUGGCGAGUGGCGAACGGGUGAGUAAUACAUCGGAACAUGUCCUGUAGUGGGGGAUAGCCCGGCGAAAGCCGGAUUAAUACCGCAUACGAUCUACGGAUGAAAGCGGGGGACCUUCGGGCCUCGCGCUAUAGGGUUGGCCGAUGGCUGAUUAGCUAGUUGGUGGGGUAAAGGCCUACCAAGGCGACGAUCAGUAGCUGGUCUGAGAGGACGACCAGCCACACUGGGACUGAGACACGGCCCAGACUCCUACGGGAGGCAGCAGUGGGGAAUUUUGGACAAUGGGCGAAAGCCUGAUCCAGCAAUGCCGCGUGUGGGAAGAAGGCCUUCGGGUUGUAAAGCACUUUUGUCCGGAAAGAAAUCCUUGGCCCUAAUACGGUCGGGGGAUGACGGUACCGGAAGAAUAAGCACCGGCUAACUACGUGC
rnacentral:rRNA from 1 species